rnacentral:lncRNA from 1 species
GCCCCGCAGCCCCCGCGGCCGCAGCAGCAGCAGCAGCAGCAGCAGCCGCCCCGGGCGGCCUCCGCUAAGCGGUUCCGGUUCAGGCGGGCGGUGACGCCUCCGCGCCGGGCGGGCGGCGGCAGCGGGGCCGUGCUCGCCCCCCGUGCGUGUGGGUCUGCUUGCGCCUCAACCGCCCGCGGUGCUGAGGGGGCGCGGAGGGGCCGGGCCCGCUGCUCUCAGGCGUCCCCGAAUCGUACUGCGGGUGCGCGCGGCUGUACAGAACGUGGAAGUAUGGCUGUGUGCUGCGGUAUGUCGCGGAGCGCAACCCCUGCCCGGCGGGGCGUCGGCUGCUGCUCGCCCUGAGGCGCUCAGCUGGCGGGAGCCCGAGGGCCGCCCCUCCGCUGCCGCUGCCCCGGGGACGACCCUGGAGGCGGCGUUCCUCUUUCCACAGCCGCCCACCGGCCCGGUCCUGGCCGCCGUGCGCUCCGUGUCACCUCAGGGCUGGGCCCAAACGCGGCUGCAGCGCUGUCAGCCCAGCAGCACGUCUGUGUGCAGCGCCCGGGCGGCUCUCACUGCUGGUCCCCGGGUCCUUAGGAAUCCUCUGAGGACACCUCUACGUCCCGCUGCGUUCAGGGCUUUCCCAGCCAAACACAUAUUGAGUAUCAGUGUCAGACUGAAGAUGGAGAUCGUGGAUGAUUCUCCUUAGCUUUUUUUAUAUCUUUUUUCAUCCUUUUCCUUUUAUCUCCGCAAUCUAAGCAAAUCUCGUGACUACUGGAGGUCUGAGUCAUGGCACUCCAAUGAUUACAGCGAUAACUGCUGAACAGAAAAGCAUUUGUGUAUUUAUAAAAAAAAUGCUUCAGCUUAUCUCCUGGUAUCUGAUGUUCUUGUAAGAUCAGCUCAAGGCAGAUAAUUACACACAAGGCUUUAGGGUUGCCAUCUAUUUUUUUUUUUUUUUCAGAUCACACAUUGCAAAGAAAAAAAAAGGUUAGUUUUCAGCUAGCUUCAACGUCUCCUUGAUGUGAACGUACUCCAGUGGGGUGCAAACCAAAGCGUUAAAGAAAUAUUGUUUCUUAGAACUCUGUUGAGCGUGGGCUCCUGUCACUAAUGUUGCAGUAACGUAAACAGGACCGUGGUGAGGCCCUCUGUGUCUGAGUAACACAAGUACGUGCAGCAUCUUCUGUGUCAGUGUCUGCUGUGGUUUGCCUCCCGACAAAAGGAUAUUCAGGAUUUGCUGGUGCUCUGCUUCAGAAGGACCAUUCUGUAUAGGAUGUAGCAUCUCACUACCACAUAGUUCACUGCUGCUGGGCACGCCCUGCCCUCAGACCAGGCCGUGGCAUAAGCUCUGCUCACCUCGCCUGCUCAAAUAAAUCUCCGAGACCAUUCUGAAGUUUAAGAUUAUGGAUUUGCCUGAGGGGCUUUAUGCAGCAGCUGAGGAACACUAUAAAGCAUCUAAAACUCAGGCCCAGACUGGUCAUCACUGAGAUACCUGUGUCUACAAAGGGCUAGCUCCUGCAUGAAGAUACUUUUUAAUCUGUAGCAUCUUCACUAUACAGAAGACAAUGUACUUUUAUAGGUUAAAUGUUAAUGAUGUGACUCAUUAAAUUCUGUGCUUGAAAUCUUCUUGGUACAUCAUCAAAAGCUGUACAUGAUUCAAACCAGCAGAUGCGGAUUACUGCUUUGCUUAGAUGCAGUUUCUAUCUAUUUGGGAUAGAAAGAAGUGGUAAAUGUUGUUUAGCACCAAACUACUUUCUGCUUGCAAACCUAAUGAUACAGGAAGCACAGGUUUAAAAAAAAAUCCAUUAAAAUAAACAAUUGGUGAUAACUGGAGCUUUGACUCUGGUUAUCUUUCAUACACACACAGAAGUUUGUCAUAGAAUACCUUCCCCACACUGCCACCUAAUGUUUAACAGGAGUCCUACUAAUACUUUAGGCAUUAAGUCUAAAAUGCCAUUUUGCCAAAUUUAUCAGUUAAUUGUUGUAUGGGAUUUUAAGCAAAAACUUUGAAUGAUCAUGCCUGUGUCCAAAAUGAAAAGUGAUCUGGCUGGCCAACUGAAUCAUGACCUAAACUCGGUUAAUUGUAAUUCCUACAUUUAUUUUGCUCAUAAUACUGACAUCCAAAUCAACUGGAAUGGUGGUGAUGAACAGCCGAGGGAUAUUAGUUAUCAACCCUCUGAUAAUAUUAUUUAUUAGUACUUAUGUUCAUUACUGCAAUUCCAAAUCCAGUGGCAGCAAAACUAUCUUGAUUCCGACCCAACCAAGAUGGCAAAACCUUUUACUGUGUUCCUCAAGAGGAUACGUUGCCAUAUCACGUCUCAGUCUUCACUCAGAUGUUCACCCCUAUGGACUGCAGGGACUGAUCCCGUGGUACAUUUCUCCUUUGCUUAGCUGUUGAUUCUUCAAGGAUUAAGGCAGCCUUCUCUUUCCUGGAGGGAGUAAUCCAGUGCUUGCCAAAAAACAUCCUUCCAGCCAUGUCACAAGCUAUCUGAAGCCCUUCCAAUGCCUACUCCAACCACUAUGCUGUCAGCAGAGGCAGCUGGAGGUACUUGGCAAAAUGAUCCUGCAGUGACUGUUCACAGCAAAGACAUCAAGUCUUAGCAAGAUUCAUGUAAUGUAUGGAGCUACUGCUUAGUGUGACCCAACUUAAAAUAUUCAGAUUGCUUAUCUUGUUUCUUAGAAAGUAAGCAGCAUUUCUGAAUCAGAGAGAAAUAUGUAAAGAGUAAAUCAUUAUUUUGAAUACAGAGGAAAG